GACGAACGCUGGCGGCGUGCUUAACACAUGCAAGUCGAACGGAAAGGCCCUGCUUGCAGGGUACUCGAGUGGCGAACGGGUGAGUAACACGUGGGUGAUCUGCCCUGCACUUCGGGAUAAGCCUGGGAAACUGGGUCUAAUACCGGAUAGGAGCCAUUUUUAGUGUGAUGGUUGGAAAGUUUUUUCGGUGUAGGAUGAGCUCGCGGCCUAUCAGCUUGUUGGUGGGGUAAUGGCCUACCAAGGCGGCGACGGGUAGCCGGCCUGAGAGGGUGGACGGCCACAUUGGGACUGAGAGACGGCACAGACGCCUACGGGAGGCAGCAGUGGGGAAUAUUGCACAAUGGGCGCAAGCCGGAUGCAGCGACGCCGCGUGGGGGAUGACGGCCUUCGGGUUGUAAACUCCUUUCGCUAGGGACGAAGCUUUUUGUGACGGUACCUAGAUAAGAAGCACCGGCUAACUACGUG
rnacentral:rRNA from 1 species